ensembl:lncRNA
GGGGAAAAAGACAGAGAGAGUGGUAAGUAGCCAUCGAGGGAAAAGAGAGAGAGAGGUAGAGCCAGGGGGGAAAAGACAGAGAGAGAGAGGUAAGUUGCCAGGGGGAAAAGAGAGAGAGAGGUAAGUAGCCAGGGGGAAAAGAGAGAGAGAGAGGUAAGUAGCCAGGGGGAAAAGACAGAGAGAGAGGUAAGUUGCCAGGGGGAAAAGACAGAGAGAGAGGUAAGUAGCCAGGGGGAAAAGACAGAGAGAGAGAGGUCAGUAGCCAGGGGGAAAGAGAGAGAGAGAGAGAGUUAAGUAGCCAGGGGGAAAAGAGAGAGAGAGAGAGUUAAGUAGACAGGGGGAAAAGACAGAGAGAGAGAGAGAAGUAAGUAGCCA